rnacentral:rRNA from 1 species
UACAGAGGGUGCGAGCGUUGUCCGGAAUCACUGGGCGUAAAGGGCGCGUAGGCGGCCCGGUAAGUAGGAGGUGAAAUCCUGCGGCUUAACCGCAGGGCUGCCUUCUAGACUGCCAGGCUUGAGCACGGUAGAGGCGGAUGGAAUUCCCGGUGUAGCGGUGGAAUGCGUAGAGAUCGGGAAGAACAUCAGUGGCGAAGGCGAUCCGCUGGGCCGUUGCUGACGCUGAGGCGCGACAGCGUGGGGAGCAAACAGG